rnacentral:rRNA from 1 species
GGGACACGUGGUAUCCUGUCUGAAUAUGGGGGGACCAUCCUCCAAGGCUAAAUACUCCUGACUGACCGAUAGUGAACCAGUACCGUGAGGGAAAGGCGAAAAGAACCCCGGCGAGGGGAGUGAAAAAGAACCUGAAACCGUGUACGUACAAGCAGUGGGAGCACGCUUAGGCGUGUGACUGCGUACCUUUUGUAUAAUGGGUCAGCGACUUAUAUUCUGUAGCAAGGUUAACCGAAUAGGGGAGCCGAAGGGAAACCGAGUCUUAACUGGGCGUUAAGUUGCAGGGUAUAGACCCGAAACCCGGUGAUCUAGCCAUGGGCAGGUUGAAGGUUGGGUAACACUAACUGGAGGACCGAACCGACUAAUGUUGAAAAAUUAGCGGAUGACUUGUGGCUGGGGGUGAAAGGCCAAUCAAACCGGGAGAUAGCUGGUUCUCCCCGAAAGCUAUUUAGGUAGCGCCUCGUGAAUUCAUCUCCGGGGGUAGAGCACUGUUUCGGCAAGGGG